rnacentral:rRNA from 1 species
UGGCGGACGGGUGAGUAACGCGUGGGUAACCUGCCCUGUACAGGGGGAUAACAGUUAGAAAUGACUGCUAACACCGCAUAAGCGCACGGUAAGGCAUCUUAGUGUGUGAAAAUAUUAAUAGGUACAGGAUGGGCCCGCGUCUGAUUAGCCAGUUGGCAGGGUAACGGCCUACCAAAGCGACGAUCAGUAGCCGGCUUGAGAGAGUGAACGGCCACAUUGGGACUGAGACACGGCCCAAACUCCUACGGAAGGCAGCAG